rnacentral:rRNA from 1 species
UUCUGCCCCCUGAUUUUUAAUUAAAGGGCCGCAGUAGCCUGACUGUGCUAAGGUAGCAUAAUCAUUAGGUUUUUAAAUGGGAUCUGGUAUGAAUGGAUAAAUAGGGAAUUGCUGUCUUUUUGGUAGUUUUUGAAUUUAAAUUUUUAGUAAUAAUGCUAGAAUGACUUUGUGGGACGAUAAGACCCUAUAAAGCUUUAUUUUUGUGAUGUUGAGAAUUUUUGCUAAUUUUAAUAGUAUAAAAAUUUAACUGGGGCGGUUUUCAAUUAACUUGGAUUAAAAUUGGUGUAUUUGACCCUCUAUUAGGGGUAUAAGAUUAAGUUACUUUAGGGAUAACAGCAUAAUAUACUUAUGGAGUUCUAAUCGAAGGGUAUGUUUGUGACCUCGAUGUUGAAUUAAUUUAAUUUUAGGGUGAAGAAGCUCUAAGAGUUAGUCUGUUCGACUAUUAUACAAUUACAUGAUUUGAGUUCAAACCGGUUUAAGCCAGGUUGG